GACGAUCGCUGGCGGCGUGCUUAACACAUGCAAGUCGAACGGUAAGGCCCUUCGGGGUGCACGAGUGGCGAACGGGUGAGUAACACGUGGGUGAUCUGCCCUGCACUUCGGGAUAAGCCUGGGAAACUGGGUCUAAUACCGGAUAGGACCACUGCCUGCAUGGGUGGUGGUGGAAAGCUUUUGCGGUGUGGGAUGGGCCCGCGGCCUAUCAGCUUGUUGGUGGGGUGAUGGCCUACCAAGGCGACGACGGGUAGCCGGCCUGAGAGGGUGACCGGCCACACUGGGACUGAGAUACGGCCCAGACUCCUACGGGAGGCAGCAGUGGGGAAUAUUGCACAAUGGGCGCAAGCCUGAUGCAGCGACGCCGCGUGAGGGGUGACGGCCUUCGGGUUGUAAACCUCUUUCAGCACCGACGAAGCGCAAGUGACGGUAGGUGCAGAAGAAGGACCGGCCAACUACGUGCCAGCCGCCGCCGUAA
rnacentral:rRNA from 1 species